UCUCCGUUGGUGAGCCAGCGGAGGGAUCAUUACCGAGUUAUCAACUCCCAAACCCCUGUGAACAUACCCAACGUUGCUUCGGCGGGACCGCCCCGGCGCCCUCGGCGUCCCGGAACCAGGCGCCCGCCGGAGGACCCAAACUCUUGUUUAAACCAUAGUGGCAUAUUCUGAGUCUCACAAGAAAAAUGAAUCAAAACUUUCAACAACGGAUCUCUUGGCUCUG
rnacentral:misc_RNA from 1 species